rnacentral:lncRNA from 15 species
AUGUGUUCAACAGGACAAGGGGCCAAUGAUGGGGUCACUGUCAGGUACAAUGUUGUGGCCAGUGAUGAGGAAAAUGAUGAAGGAAUAGUCAACAUAAAUACCAGAGGACAAGGGGCCAAUGCUGGAGCCAGUGACGGGGCCAAUGUUGGGGCCAAUAUGGGGGCCAGUGAUGGGGCCAAUAUGGGGGCCAGUGAUGGGGCCAAUGCUGGGACCAGUGACGGGGCCAAUGUUGGGGCCAAUAUGGGGGCCAGUGAUGGGGCCAAUGUUGGGGCCAAUAUGGGGGCCAGUGAUGAGGCCAAUGCUGGGGCCAAUGCAGGGACCAGUGAUGGGGUCAAUGCUGGGGCCAAUAUGGGGGCCAGUGAUGGGGCCAAUGUUGGGGCCAAUAUGGGGGCCAGUGAUGGGGUAAGUGAUAGGGCCAGUGAUGAGCACAAUGAUGGGGCCAGUGCUGGGGCCAAUGUUGGGGCCAAUGCUGGUGCCAAUGUUGGGGCCAGUGCUGGGGCCAGUGAUGAGCACAAUGAUGGAGCCAGUGCUGGGGCCAAUGCUGGGGCUAAUGCUGGGGCCAAUGAUGGGGCCAAUGAUGGGGCCAAUGUUGGGGCCAAUGAUGGGGCCAGUGACGGGGCCAAUGUUGGGGCCAAUAUAGGGGCCAGUGAUGGGGCCAAUGUUGGGGCCAGUGCUGGGGCCAAUGCUGGGGCAAGUGAUAGGGCCAGUGAUGAGCACAAUGAUUGGGCCAGUGCUGGGGCCAAUGCUGGGGCUAAUGCCGGGGCCAGUGAUGAGCACAAUGAUGGGGCCAGUGCUGGGGCCAAUGCUGGGGCUAUUGCCGGGGCCAGUGAUGGGGCCAAUGUUGGGGCCAGAGAUGAGGAAUGUCAACUAGCAUUUGAUGAUGACUCUUGAUUCUUUGACCCAAAUACUGAAUGAAAGAAAGUCUUUUAGUCCAUCCACAUAUAUUUAUCAGGUGUGUUAUGAGUUAUUAUUAUUAUCAUUAUUACUAUUAACUCUAUUAUCUUUUUAUUCUGGUGUCAAACUCAUUAGAUAAACAUUGGUUUUCUAAGCUUGGUUAACAGGUAGAAGGUAGUGUUCUUCUGUUUGACCUCAUGAUGGCGCUGUUUUCUGUACCAUCAAUAAAAUCUACUUAAAGUAUCAAAUGUAGACACCAAGGUCUCAUUGUGCAGUAAAAUGGUCCCUGUCAGUGUCUGACUGUUAUAUCUGAUGUUUCGGAUUAAUGUCAUGUUAAUGUUGCAUUGUAACUCCUUUAUACACUGUCGCUGUCCUAUGAGAACCACGUAUCUGUAAAAAGACCAAAAAACAGCCUGUUCAGCGUUGUGACGACGCAUUUUCCAGAUAAUCCAAGAUAAUUGAGUGUCAUACUGUCAGUAUGAGAGUUUACGGUAGGCUGUAUGUGUAAGAUAUUACAGGAUAAACAUUAAAUAGAACGAGACGCAAAAAAAAAUGUUUUUUUUUAUCAUAUUCAUCAUUUUUUGUAUUUGUUAUUGUUGAUGAUAAUUGGUCAUUGUGAUAUAUGGAUUAAUCUGCAGAGGUCAGAAGUGACAAAAUAC